rnacentral:rRNA from 1 species
UACAGAGGGGGCAAGCGUUGUUCGGAAUUACUGGGCGUAAAGGGCGCGUAGGCGGCCUGUUAAGUCGAACGUGAAAUCCCCGGGCUCAACCCGGGAACUGCGUCCAAGACUGGGAGGCUUGAAUCCGGGAGAGGGAUGCGGAAUUCCAGGUGUAGCGGUGAAAUGCGUAGAUAUCUGGAGGAACACCGGUGGCGAAGGCGGCAUCCUGGACCGGUAUUGACACUGAGGCGCGAAAGCCAGGGGAGCAAACGGG